rnacentral:rRNA from 1 species
CAGUCGCCGCGGUAACACGUAGGUGGCGAGCGUUGUCCGGAUUUAUUGGGCGUAAAGGGAGUGUAGGCGGUCUUUUAAGUCUGAUGUGAAAGCCCACGGCUCAACCGUGGAGGGUCAUUGGAAACUGUUAAACUUGAGUGCAGGAGAGAAAAGUGGAAUUCCUAGUGUAGCGGUGAAAUGCGUAGAGAUUAGGAGGAACACCAGUGGCGAAGGCGGCUUUUUGGCCUGUAACUGACACUGAGGCGCGAAAGCGUGGGGAGCAAACAGGAUUAGAUACCCCGGUAGUCCCUGUCUCUUAUAC